rnacentral:ncRNA from 1 species
AAACUGAAGAGUUUGAUCAUGGCUCAGAUUGAACGCUGGCGGCAGGCUUAACACAUGCAAGUCGAGCGGUAACAGGUCCAGCUUGCUGGAUGCUGACGAGCGGCGGACGGGUGAGUAAUGCAUAGGAAUCUGCCCAGUAGUGGGGGAUAACCUGGGGAAACCCAGGCUAAUACCGCAUACGCCCUACGGGGGAAAGCAGGGGAUCUUCGGACCUUGCGCUAUCGGAUGAGCCUAUGUCGGAUUAGCUAGUUGGUAGGGUAAAGGCCUACCAAGGCGACGAUCCGUAGCUGGUCUGAGAGGAUGAUCAGCCACAUCGGGACUGAGACACGGCCCGAACUCCUACGGGAGGCAGCAGUGGGGAAUAUUGGACAAUGGGGGCAACCCUGAUCCAGCCAUGCCGCGUGUGUGAAGAAGGCCUUCGGGUUGUAAAGCACUUUCAGCGAGGAAGAAGGCCUGGUGGCCAAUACCCACCAGGAAGGACAUCACUCGCAGAAGAAGCACCGGCUAACUCCGUGCCAGCAGCCGCGGUAAUACGGAGGGUGCGAGCGUUAAUCGGAAUUACUGGGCGUAAAGCGCGCGUAGGUGGCUUGAUAAGCCGGUUGUGAAAGCCCCGGGCUCAACCUGGGAACGGCAUCCGGAACUGUCAGGCUAGAGUGCAGGAGAGGAAGGUAGAAUU